AGCAGCCGCGGUAAUUCCAGCUCCAAUAGCGUAUAUUAAAGUUGUUGCAGUUAAAAAGCUCGUAGUUGAAUUUCGAGACCGGUUUACUGGUCGUGCUUUUGUACGUACUGGUAUUAUUGGUUUCUCCUUUCUGACGAAUCAUAAUGCCAUUAAUUUGGUGUUUUGGGGAAUCAGGACUGUUACUUUGAAAAAAUUAGAGUGUUUAAAGCAGGCUCACGCUUGAAUACAUUAGCAUGGAAUAACGAAAUAGGACGUUUGAUUUUAUUUUGUUGGUUUCUAGGAUCGACGUAAUGAUUAAUAGGGAUAGUUGGGGGCAUUAGUAUUCAAUUGUCAGAGGUGAAAUUCUUGGAUUUAUUGAAGACUAACUACUGCGAAAGCAUUUGCCAAGGAUGUUUUCAUUAAUCAAGAACGAAAGUUAGGGGAUCGAAGACGAUCAGAUACCGUCGUAGUCUUAACCAUAAACUAUGCC
rnacentral:rRNA from 1 species